rnacentral:rRNA from 1 species
GAUGAACGCUGGCGGCGUGCUUAACACAUGCAAGUCGAACGAGAAGUGGAGACGGAAACCUUCGGGCGGAAGACUUUAUUUCGAGUGGCGGACGGGUGAGUAACGCGUGGGUAACCUGCCUCAUACAGGGGGAUAACAGUUGGAAACGACUGUUAAUACCGCAUAAGACCACAGCACCGCAUGGUGCGGGGGUAAAAACUCCGGUGGUAUGAGAUGGACCCGCGUUCGAUUAGCCAGUUGGCGGGGUAACGGCCCACCAAAGCGACGAUCGAUAGCCGAGCUGAGAGGAUGCCCGGCCACAUUGGGACUGGGACACGGCCCAAACUCCUACGGGAGGCAGCAGUGGGGAAUAUUGCACAAUGGGGGAAACCCUGAUGCAGCGACGCCGCGUGAGUGAAGAAGUAUUUCGGUAUGUAAAGCUCUAUCAGCAGGGAAGAAAAUGACGGUACCUGAGUAAGAAGCCCCGGCUAACUACGUG